GCAAAAUGUUUUUUCAUUGAGUAUAAAAAGGGAUUAUCUUUGCUCUUUUCGAGUGCGGCCUCGCAUGGGAACUGCUCACAAGACGGCGCGCAAGAGGUCGGCCUGGCUCAGGUCGAUCUGACGGCCGCAUGCGGCGGUACCCGGCUGCGAGGGUCCCGACAGGCCGGUGACGGCGAUGCGCGGCAGGAUGCCGACGACGGGCUCGCCCGGCAGGUAGCGGUUGACAAAGCCGGGUCCGUUUUCGAGCGGCUCCCAUGCAAAGUCGCGCAGGUCGUGGACGGCCUGGCAGCAUUCGGAAUAGCCCGACACGAGCAUCCUUUGGACCUCGUUCUCGAUCUGGCGCACGCGCUCGGUGGGGAUGUCGGCUUCGAGCGUCGUCAGGAGGCGCGCCACGCGCUGGUACCAACGCACGAGGAUGGAAUCCAGACGCUUGAGGCGGCCGUAAGCCUGUGACUGCUGCUGCGAAGUGGCGCCCUGCAGCAUGAUGGGCAUGUUGCGGGCGAUCUCGUCGCGCGCGUCCUGACAGAGCGCGCGCAUGUUUUGACGAAUAAACGCCGCCAGGCGCACCUUGGUC
rnacentral:lncRNA from 1 species